rnacentral:rRNA from 1 species
GAUGAACGCUGGCGGCGUGCCUAAUACACGCAAGUCGAGCGAACGGACGAGAAGCUUGCUUCUCUGAUGUUAGCGGCGGACGGGUGAGUAACACGUGGAUAACCUACCUAUAAGACUGGGAUAACUUCGGGAAACCGGAGCUAAUACCGGAUAAUAUUUUGAACCGCAUGGUUCAAAAGUGAAAGACGGUCUUGCUGUCACUUAUAGAUGGAUCCGCGCUGCAUUAGCUAGUUGGUAAGGUAACGGCUUACCAAGGCAACGAUGCAUAGCCGACCUGAGAGGGUGAUCGGCCACACUGGAACUGAGACACGGUCCAGACUCCUACGGGAGGCAGCAGUAGGGAAUCUUCCGCAAUGGGCGAAAGCCUGACGGAGCAACGCCGCGUGAGUGAUGAAGGUCUUCGGAUCGUAAAACUCUGUUAUUAGGGAAGAACAUAUGUGUAAGUAACUGUGCACAUCUUGACGGUACCUAAUCAGAAAGCCACGGCUAACUACGUGCCAGCAGCCGCGGUAAUACGUAGGUGGCAAGCGUUAUCCGGAAUUAUUGGGCGUAAAGCGCGCGUAGGCGGUUUUUUAAGUCUGAUGUGAAAGCCCACGGCUCAACCGUGGAGGGUCAUUGGAAACUGGAAAACUUGAGUGCAGAAGAGGAAAGUGGAAUUCCAUGUGUAGCGGUGAAAUGCGCAGAGAUAUGGAGGAACACCAGUGGCGAAGGCGACUUUCUGGUCUGUAACUGACGCUGAUGUGCGAAAGCGUGGGGAUCAAACAGGAUUAGAUACCCUGGUAGUCCACGCCGUAAACGAUGAGUGCUAAGUGUUAGGGGGUUUCCGCCCCUUAGUGCUGCAGCUAACGCAUUAAGCACUCCGCCUGGGGAGUACGACCGCAAGGUUGAAACUCAAAGGAAUUGACGGGGACCCGCACAAGCGGUGGAGCAUGUGGUUUAAUUCGAAGCAACGCGAAGAACCUUACCAAAUCUUGACAUCCUUUGACAACUCUAGAGAUAGAGCUUUCCCCUUCGGGGGACAAAGUGACAGGUGGUGCAUGGUUGUCGUCAGCUCGUGUCGUGAGAUGUUGGGUUAAGUCCCGCAACGAGCGCAACCCUUAAGCUUAGUUGCCAUCAUUAAGUUGGGCACUCUAAGUUGACUGCCGGUGACAAACCGGAGGAAGGUGGGGAUGACGUCAAAUCAUCAUGCCCCUUAUGAUUUGGGCUACACACGUGCUACAAUGGACAAUACAAAGGGCAGCGAAACCGCGAGGUCAAGCAAAUCCCAUAAAGUUGUUCUCAGUUCGGAUUGUAGUCUGCAACUCGACUACAUGAAGCUGGAAUCGCUAGUAAUCGUAGAUCAGCAUGCUACGGUGAAUACGUUCCCGGGUCU